AGAGUUUGAUCCUGGCUCAGGACGAACGCUGGCGGCGUGCCUAACACAUGCAAGUCGAGCGGAGUUAGUAGCAAUACUAACUUAGCGGCGGACGGGUGAGUAACGCGUGGGCAACCUGCCUUUUACAGGGGGAUAACACAGGGAAACUUGUGCUAAUACCGCAUAACAUCCGAGGGGGACAUCCUCUUUGGAUCAAAGGA
rnacentral:rRNA from 1 species